rnacentral:rRNA from 1 species
AGAGCGAACGCUGGCGGCAGGCCUAACACAUGCAAGUCGAACGGAUCCUUCGGGAUUAGUGGCGGACGGGUGAGUAACACGUGGGAACGUGCCUUUUGGUUCGGAACAACUCAGGGAAACUUGAGCUAAUACCGGAUAAGCCUUUCGAGGGAAAGAUUUAUCGCCAUUAGAGCGGCCCGCGUAGGAUUAGCUAGUUGGUGAGGUAAAGGCUCACCAAGGCUACGAUCCUUAGCUGGUCUGAGAGGAUGAUCAGCCACAUUGGGACUGAGACACGGCCCAAACUCCUACGGGAGGCAGCAGUGGGGAAUCUUGCGCAAUGGGCGAAAGCCUGACGCAGCCAUGCCGCGUGAAUGAUGAAGGUCUUAGGAUUGGUAAAAUUCUUUCACCGGGGACAUAAUGACGGUACCCGGAGAAGAAGCCCCGGCUAACUUCGUGCCAGCAGCCGC